UGGCAGACCAACGGUCAUAAGCAGUGGGGGAAAGAGAGGAGCGAGGGACCUCAUGUGAUCUCUCCCCCCUUUCCUCACUCUCUGGGGGUAGAUACCAGAGUGGUGGUUAGAAGCCUUAGCCUUAGCUCUGCCUGGAUUUAUAUACUGGCUUUACUAUUUACUAUAUAGAAAUGUCAAAUGAAGUACUACAGGGAAAACUGUCCAUUCGGUUCAGGAGGAACUGAGGCAAAUGCUAAGAUGUCCACAAGCUCGCAUAGAGGAUCAAAGACAGGAGAUUCCUGUAACAGAGAGAAAAUGCAGACACAUGUUCCAGGUUAUCAAGAUUUUGCACCAACAAACCAAAAACAUGCAUCCAGCCUGGUGACUCAGUUGAUUGAUGCGUCUGCUCUAUGCCGAUCUAUUCCAAAUACCAUGAAGAAAUAAAAAGGAAAUUAAAAAGUAAAUAAAAAUUCUGACCAAAACA
rnacentral:lncRNA from 1 species